rnacentral:rRNA from 1 species
CCCUUAGAUGUUCUGGGCCGCACGCGCGCUACACUGUUCGACGCAGCGAGUCUUAACCUUGACCGAAAGGUUUGGGUAAUCUUCAGCAAAGUCGAACGUGAUGGGGAUCGAUCAUUGCAAUUAUUGAUCGUGAACGAGGAAUUCCUAGUAAGUGCAAGUCAUCAGCUUGCGCUGAUUGCGUCCCUGCCCUUUGUACACACCGCCCGUCGCUACUACCGAUUGAAUGGUUUAGUGAGAUCUCUGGAUUGACGCUGGCUAGGGGGCGACCCUUGGCCAGACUGCUCGAGAAACUGCUCAAACUUGAUCAUUUAGAGGAAGUAAAAGUCGUAACA